rnacentral:lncRNA from 1 species
AGGGAGGAAAGGUAGCACUUGGCAGAGGACAAAAAGUUACUUAGCCAUCAUCAGUGGGCACAGGUUUCCUUUGCUGUUCUUGAAGUCAAUCACUAAAAUUUUAACACUUUGUGUUUCACUUUCUGAUGACCAAGGCCUAAGUGAGAAAAGUGUAAGCUCACCCUUCAAGCAGAUAUCUGUGCCUCCAGCAGCCUCAGAAUGGGCACAGUUGUGGCCUCAGCCCUGCCAUACAGGGAGAUGUCACCACAGACUGGAUACCAUACUUACCUUUCUAUUCUGCUCCUGUGAAGCCCAUGUGGAACUGCAGUGAGGAAAAAGAACGCACAGAAAUAUGAUUGCAUCACCAGAUCGGAAAAGCUUCAACACCUGAACUCCAGUCUCCAGUUCCAGUGCCCAGAGUGCUGUUGUGAAGCUUCCAGGAUUCCAGUGGGAAGGGUCCUGGCAGCGUGUCCUCUCCAUGGAUGAGACCCCAAAGUCCGCCUACCAGUGAGGCUCCUUAAAUAGCAGUUGGAACAAAAAUGUCAGUGUCAAGGAGUCUCCAGCCCCUGGGACUGGUCCAUUCCCCAGGGGAACAAAGAUGUGCAUCUCUAGGCAUCUCCAGAGUGCUCAAGGGGAAGUGGGAGAUUUCACCAGGAACCAGUCAAAUUCCAAAAGGAAGAAGAAAGAGUUGUGUGUAGCAGUCAGUACACAGAAGCAGC